AAAAUUGUAAUUGAGAGAAAUUUUACAAUUUUUCAGGCCAAAAAUUAUAAUUGGGAUAGAGUUUAUAAUUUUCCAUUCAACAUUGUAAUUUGGAGAGUUGCAAUUUUCUGCUUACAAAUUGAAAUUGUACGAUAAAGUUUGUAAUUUUCCGUUCAAAAUUGUAAUUUGGAGGGUUUUUGGGUUUUUGUUUAAUUUUUUGUUUCUUUUUCUUUUUUGUGGGUAUGCUUACGCGUGCUUAGGAAUUUGUUUUUUUUGUUUUUAUUUUCCUAAUAACUAAUAUCAGAGUCAGGUUCCGAUCAAGGGAGGAAGGAAGAGCCCAAAAAAAUUAUGAUCAAGUAAAAAAGGAAGAGUAACAAAAAAGAAUUUGAUCUAAGGGAUGAAGAAGACCAAAAGAUUGAAG
rnacentral:lncRNA from 1 species